GCAGGCUGGCCACCCAGUAAUCAGCACAAGUUAGAAUGUGGGCAACUCGGCAGUUGUUGAUAACCUUGGGCCGAUCGCACGUCCCCGUGACGGCGACGACCCUUUGGAUGUCUGCCUUAUCAACUUUCGAUGGUACUUUCUGCGCCUACCACGGGUAACGGGGAAUCAGGGUUAGAUUCUGGAGAGAGAGAGCCUGAGAAACGGCUACCACAUCCAAGGAAGGCAGCAGGCGCGCAAAUUACCUACUCCCGACGCAGGGAGGUAGUGAC